rnacentral:rRNA from 1 species
ACGGGUGAGUAACCCCUAGGAAUCUACCUUGGAGUGGGGGAUAACUUGGGGAAACCCAAGCUAAUACCGCAUGAGCCCUAAGGGGGAAAGCAGGGGACCGUAAGGCCCUGUGCUAUGAGAUGAGCCUGCGUCGGAUUAACUAGUUGGUGGGGUAAAGGCCUACCAAGGCGAGGAUCCGUAGCUGGUCUGAGAGGACGACCAGCCACACUGGGACCGAGACACGGCCCAGACUCCUACGGGAGGCAGCAGUGGGGAAUAUUGGACAAUGGGCGCAAGCCUGAUCCAGCAAUGCCGCGUGUGUGAAGAAGGCCUGCGGGUUGUAAAGCACUUUCAGUGGGGAGGAAGGUCUCAAUGCUAAUAGUAUUGUGAAUUGACGUUACCUACAGAAGAAGCACCGGCUAACUCUGUGCCAGCAGCCGCGGUAAUACAGAGGGUGCGAGCGUUAAUCGGAAUUACUGGGCGUAAAGGGCGCGUAGGUGGUCACUUAAGUCAGAUGUGAAAUCCCUGGGCUUAACCUAGGAAUUGCAUUUUGAAACUGAGUGGCUAGAGUAUGGGAGAGGGGAAGUGGAAUUUCCGGG